ensembl:lncRNA
CCAUCCUCACUGCUGCCAAAGCAAUCUCCUGAAUGUCCAUUUCUCUUUCUAGGAUUCCCUUCUCAGAAAUGUUCUGGUGAGUGUCUUUAGCCUAUUUGGGGUUCGGAUCCCUAUGGCCAUCUGGUAAGGCCACGAACUGCCUCUCAGAAUAAUGCUAAAAGCAGAAAAUAAAAUCCAGAGGUUUACAGAAGAAACCAAAGGCUGGCAAAAAUAAAGCUAUAUCUGUAGGACAUCUAGUUUGAGAUGUCCAAUAGGCAAUUGAAGAUGCAAGACCAAAGAUCAAAAGAGAAGUCUGGCCUGGAUAAAUGGAUGUAAGAAUCAUCCGCAUUGGAAUGAUAUUCGAAUCCCUGGAAACUGAUGAAGUCAUUAAAGGAGACAAGCAGAGGACCAAGGACAGAGGCUUCGAUAAAGAAACAGAGACUCAUAGAGGGAGAAGGUUUAAAGAAAGUCAAGCAGUAAGAAACGUAUCCAGAAUUUCGACCAGAGCCUCUUCCUCCAAAUACAAUUCUCUCCCAUGGCACUUUGCAUUUGAAUUUCUUCAAAUUAAGAGUAGUGGUGGGAAAGGGAAAUAAUGUUGGUUGUAGGUAUGUUGGGUAAAGGUCAGCAGUUAUAUCUCAAUUCUCUUGUGGUCUUAAGCAAAGCUCCAUGGUAAUUGGCAUGGGCUUAUGCUAGUGACCAAGUAUGAAAGGAAUUUAUUAACUCCAAUCCAAAUAUUAAAUAAGGCUGGGGAAGUUCCUGUUGAGAGGGAUUAGUCAAAAAGAUUUGUUCUAAGAGAGUCUUUGUCAUAUAAGUUGAGUGCAUUUAUGUGCCUGAGUCACAAAAGAGCUAAGUUAGUCCUUGGACUGCCUUAUAAAGAGCUGUAGAUACUUCUUGUGGGUUAGAAACAACCUAAGUGCCUAGAAUUAGCAAAUCAUACAAGCCAGUGAGUGAAGAAGUCAAUUUAGUGGAAAAGCAGCAGAUGGCAGGUCAGUAGAAGAAAGAGACCCAGCAGCUGACAUCAGUAGCUCACAGCUCAGUCAAGAAAGCAGCAGUCUUUAUAUGAAAGUAGUAAUCAACAUUAGAGGCAGACAGAUGUUUCUUCUAAAAAUGUAAUCCUAUAAGUGUGGAGUGGUCUGAGCUACAAGCAUUCCCUCCUCAUCCUGUGAUAUGUGAAUGUCAGAGAAUGUGAUUCUGUAUAGAUGGGUUGUGAUUCUCCCUUAUUAUCUAACUUGUUAUUCUGUUUUAUUAAAUGCCUUUGCUUUGAGUUAACAUGUCCUCUGUCUUUUUUGAUAGAAGAAAAGCACUGAAAAGGGGCUUAUCAGCUUUGUCUUUGAAGAGACAUUGGUCCAAUGAGUGCCUAGAAUAUAGAUGUAGCUUUCAGGGGCCAAGCUUUAUAUCUAUAUAAAGCUUUUCACUAAAAUUCUUCUCUGAAGAACUAUCAUGAUGUAGAGGAGACACUGGGAACUCAAGGAUGAUACCAGCAGAACAUAAGCUUUAUAGGUCUUACUAGAAAGGCUUUGAGUGUGGCCAAAUGAUGAACUGCAAUCCUACUACAGGAAGAAGUCUUGCUAAGUACAAAGUUUGGCCAUGAAG